rnacentral:rRNA from 1 species
UACGAAGGGGGCUAGCGUUGCUCGGAAUCACUGGGCGUAAAGCGCACGUAGGCGGCUUUUUAAGUCAGGGGUGAAAUCCUGGAGCUCAACUCCAGAACUGCCUUUGAUACUGAAGAUCUUGAGUUCGGGAGAGGUGAGUGGAACUGCGAGUGUAGAGGUGAAAUUCGUAGAUAUUCGCAAGAACACCAGUGGCGAAGGCGGCUCACUGGCCCGGUACUGACGCUGAGGUGCGAAAGCGUGGGGAGCAAACAGG